rnacentral:lncRNA from 7 species
ACAGAGACUCACCUCCUACUAUUUUUCUUCCAGGGAAGCAGCUCCCAUUGCGCCAUUUUCCUGGCAGAAGAAGUUAUGAUCUUCAGGAAAAAGCUUCUUUCAGAAUGAAAGCUAGAAUGAAAGAGAGGGACAGGGAGAUAUCAGGAGAAGUGUCCUCGUAUUGCCACGCGCUCACUACAAAUCCUCAUUCCAUCAGCUGUACUCCCAGGGGAGUAUACAGAAAGACAUGAAGAUGGUUUCUUAAAUGUUGAUACAAAAAAAAGAGAAAGAUCCAGUUUUGCAUCAAAUAUCUCAUCAUUCCCUGUAUAAAACCACUACAGAGGACUCAAACCCAAAGGUCUCCCAACGUGCUCUGAUCCCACAGGCAGACAAGGACUCACUCACCACUUAACAUGUUGAAUAAGUCUGCAUCUGCAACUUGGGGAGAAGUGGCAGCUCCUGGCUAGCUCCUGCUGCGCAAAAUGAUGCUGACCAGUCACCCAUCACAGUCAGCUUCUCACUUUCAUCCAACAUUUGUGAGGAACAAGGUUUGAUUUUCCAGCUUUCUAACCCAAAGUCUGAAGAAGUUCAUCAGAAUCUGCCUUAUGUGUGGACCCUGGUGAGACCUGAGCAAGUUCAAAAACAAAUGUAACAAACUGAGAUUUUUACCUCCAUAAACAAAGUUAGAGUAUAUGGCAAUGUUUUUAUGAGGUGGAACACUUAACCAAACCAACAGACUAUAUGGGGGAGUGUUACUGCUCUGAAAACUCCCAGAGUUCAGUUUAGCACUUCACUAUUAAUGAAAGGGAAACAUACUUUUAUUUCUGUUGGUGGUAAUGGAAGAAAAUAAUUAUCCCAACAGAAGCAUUUUCAGAGAUUAGUGGUGAGACAAUAAUUUUGAUUAAUCUGAAGAUAAACUUCCCAGUAGUUAUGAAAACCUGACUGUAUAUCUUUUGCAAUAGCAACCAUGGCGCAUUAAGGCUAUUUAGUAUUAUGAAAAUAUGCAGUGAUCUGUAGCCUGUUUACUUGUCAGGGCCUGAGUGAGGGCUGCCAUAAGAUAAUGUGGCCAGAAUCAGGCCAUGAGACUUCUUCAUGCUGUUUAUGCUUAAACCUUCUGUUUUUACAUAGCACGAGAUGGACUUACAACCCUGACGACUCAUCACAUAGAGUUAGCCACGUGUUAAAAAUGUAUGGUGGCCUCCAAGUUAGUCGGUCAUUCUUUAUACUGACUAUAUUGCUAAGAUAGUUUCAAAGGAAAGCAGGAGAUGUCUGAAAUAGCUAAGAUCUGCCCUGCCUGGAUCAAUUAUCUGAAGAAGAAGUGCUGGCAUUUUAUAAACGAGGCAAAGUUUAAGUGAAAAAAUAUUCUGAUAGCUAUAAGCAUUAAUUACCUACAGCAACAGUUACUAAAAGUUAACCUGUGUAAUUUAUCUACAGCACAGUAUCUGAAUUUCAGCUGUUAUAUGUAGUACUAUUUAAAUGAUAGUUCCUGUACACUGGCAAAAAAAAAUUAAAAACAUAUUCAGAUUGAGUGAAAUCAGCACUGUGUUGCAGGUGAAAAUUGGUGAGAAUAGGUUUAGCAGCUAGUGGCUGUGUAAGAACUGGCACUUAUCAGUAAGAAUGUACAUGCUACCAUGUAUAUAGCACAUUGUAAAAUAUAGUUAUUUUAUUAUAAUAUGCAUAUUAUUCCCGGAAUGCGUCUUGGUCACUGCUUUAAUCCUUGGGGAACUGAGUACCCUAAAGUCCAGGAUAAUUGCUUUUGGAGCAAAAGUUGGAGUUGGCUUUGCUUCACCAACCUCUGUCUGCCUCCAAUAGCUGUAUAAUGUGAUUGCAAAACAAAGCAAAAGAAAAGCAAUGUGACAAUUAAGCUUAAAUAAAAUACUUAAUUA